GUUUGUCCCUUCACCCGUCGCCGCACUCUCGACCUAAUCCCGUCCCGGGAUCCUCCCAGAUCUGAUCUAGCCAACCAUGCGCAGCAAACCCCCCUUCCUCAUUUUCAGAUCCACCAUCCAUCCCUUCGAUCCAUCUUCAGUCAACGAGCGCCAACGCUCAAAUCCCGCAGGGGCCGAUGCCCUCUGCGCCUCGAUCCAUCCUCACCUGCAAGAUCAGCUCCAUCCACUCCAUUCCCGCCACAGAUGAGCAUCACACAUCCCUUUUCCUUCUCUUGUCGUCCUCGUCUCUCAACUCUCUCUCAUCUCUCUCUCUUAUCUUCACCAGGAGAUAAACACCAAUCGAAGAUGCAGCACCGCCCUGAGCUCCGUCCGUGACACCAAGUCCCUUUGCCACGCCUACCACCUCCUCUUAAUCCUCAUGCCCCUCCCCUUUCUUUUCCCUGUAUCUCUCACCUCGCCUCCCUGCAGGAACCGUGCAGCGCCACCGCCCAUGGAACUCCUCCGCCAUGGUCGCCAGGUACCAUGGUCUCCGCUGCUUCCGCUUCGAUCCGGCAGGAAACGAGACCCGAAGGCUUCUCGCGCUUGGAUCCGAACGCCACCGAGCUCCCGCGCCGACCCCUCCUCAUCCUGCCGCUCUCCGGAUUCCUCAGCGCCGCCAUGCCUGCUGUUUGCUUCACUGAACCGGCCGCCAAGUCCCACAUCGCUGCUGCUCUUUUUCCCGUUGAGAAGAGGAGGACGCCGCAUCUUCCCCGAGUCAUUCGAGCGAGCGCGAUGACCUUUCCCCGACCGAACCAAGCAGGUCGGCCCAGCGCGCCCCUGCCAGCCUCUCCCUCUCCAGCGACCGGGCCAAAGCCCAAGGGGUGAGCUGCUUCCCAGCGCCUCUCUGUUGGCCCAAAAAUAGAUUCGGCCCAAUGUAUUUUUUUCCUUGUAUGUGUUUUUAGCAAUUAAACAUGAGACUGCAGUUUUGCAGGAAAACCCUUGCAGAUUCAUGCAUUUAAUAAUUCACCAACCGUGC
rnacentral:rRNA from 1 species